UCAAAUAUAUUCAGUUGUUACUUUCUGAUAACAAUGACUUGGCUCAUUGUUUGUUAAGCCUUCUUCCCAAGAAACCAAUUGCUUGUGACCAAAGUUUCAACUCCAUCUGUAAUGUGAACCCUUAUUCUGGUGUUUCAUCUGUAGUUCUACAAGGAUUUAAUGACAGCAGCUCUGUUCUUCUGACAAACUCCUAUCCUCAUAGCAAGCCAGCGAUUAUCAUCUGUCACAACUGCUACAGUCCCAUUAUGUUCAACACUCAUUAAUGUCCUGUGCUUUCCAAAUACACUGUCAUCCAACAAGGCAGAAUGCUGAUAACAAUUUCACAGAACCUUAUGCGCUCAAUACACAAUGUGUGCAGUCUUCCAUUUGGGUCAUUUGUUUUUUCUAAAAGUUUGGGAGUUUUCUUUAAAAAUAUCCUUCAACUAAAUACAGCAAACGUCAACUGAAGAUAGAUAAGCUCCUUGUGAGUCGAAUACACAAACCAAUUUUAAUUUUCCCCAUAAAAUCCUUGAAGUCACAACUUCCUAUUUUGCUUCCCUUAACAGCAUUAGGGCCUUUGUGCUUAGUGAAAAAGACCCCAGCAUUUUUUCUAUAGCUAAAAGUUUCUUUUCCCUGUCAAUAAGAUGAAACUUGAAAAUAUUUUGGCAGUGUUGUAGUGUUGCUAUUAAUAAUAAUAAUAAAGUUAAUAAAUGACCACAAG